GCGGGCUUAAAGGCUUCACACUGCAGACACCGCCCAUCCAGGAAGUCGCUGUAGGAGGAGCAAGGGUAGCCUGUGAGGCUGCAGGUCCGGUUGAGAGCACACAGGUAAAGGAACACAGAGCGCUGGUGGUCACACACGAAAUACGACUUCCCUACGAAAGAGAAAAGCUGGAAAAGCCGUAGAAGCAUUAAGACGCGGAUCAGUGAGCACCGCCGCAUAUACGGACAGGAAGUGUCACUGAGUACUGCCCAUAUAUAUAGGACCUUCCACCCCAACCUGGGAUGUGGAUGCCUGAUGAAGACCUACGUGUCAAAAACAUUCUUAUAAUAAAAUCACCUGGGAACAUGAGCAGCAGUGUGCUGUGUUUUAAUUAUUAUUAUUUUUUUAUAUUAUUUUUUUUAGCUUUUUCAGCUCUGUUUCACCUAGUCAAGGGCUUGAUGAUUAGUUGACAAGUUGAAUCAGGUGUGCUAGCUGUGGAAUAGAUGAAAUACAUGGAACGGCUGGAAGUCCCGGGGGAGAGGUUGGAGAAACA